ensembl:lncRNA
AUACAAUUCCCUCCGUAGUCUCCAUUUACCAUACCGAAACAUGCCGACUUUAUAACAAAUAAAGUGAGUUAAAGUAAAGCAACCCGGGAUUGGACAACUUUCUUCAAGAAUAUGCAACAGCUUCUUUCUCACUCAACUACUCAAUUCUCAUGUCACUAGUACCUCCUCUGCUGAAUUCUGACAUUCCCUGCUACGGUCCUUCCUUCAUACCUUCCUUCCGCAUAGACACCCCCUCCUGUUACUCGGGUCCAAUCAGGUGGCUGAUGAUCACUCAUCGCACCUGCCGACCUUUUCAUAUUCGGGUUUCAGAGAAACGUGUCCCAAUGUGGGCCACGUCUCCCUCGACGAGCGGAGGCGGGCCUAAGUGCCCCUCCCCCCCUGCCUUUAUUCAAACUCCAGAGUGACGGGGACCUGCGAAAGGCCCGCGACUACCCCAUUGCGGUAAGAGCGUAGACAUAGCCACUCCCGUCCCGAUUUCGGUUUUACCCCGUGUCCAGCAGUCGAUUCGCAACGUACCAGAGUCCGGCAAGCUGUACGCCCACCGACAAGCCCACACGAACACCUCGCCACCUAAGUGCCGAGGGCCGGGCAGCCAAGCCCGCAGGCGCAACGCCUCUGACGGAGUUCGGGGGGGGUUUCUCUCCUGCUACUGACCCCGGUGCGGCUCUAAUUCAGCUGCUAGGUGCCAGCCGAGGCGAUCCGCCACGACCCCGGGUGGAGCCGCUACAGCAGAGACCGCGAUCGACUGGUUGGGCACUCCUGCGCUACUGUCACCGUAGCUGAGGAGAUCCGCGAGAAGGGCCCGACACACGUCCAGAGUCGCCGCCGACCGCCGCCCGAGCCUAAAGCCCCCACACCCGACAUCCACGCCCGGUCGAGGCGACCCUCAAGCCCCCCGCAGUAUGCGAGUCAGUUUUUUUAUUUUUUUAAUGGAAUUUUUUUUUUCAGUGCCAUCACCCAUCUUGUGAGCUGUUGAGGGAGAACAACCACAGGCUGCAGAGGGAAAAUGAUUCUCUCAAGGCAAAAAUAGCAACAUUGAAAUUGCUGCCAGACGUUUUGCAGAAGAUGGAGGAGUUUCUCCGCUCAGCACCAAGACCAACGACAACACCAGCACCAACAGCAGUUCCAGCACCAGCAACAGAAGACCCAUCACCAGCUCCAGGUCCAUCAUCAGCAUCAGCAACAGAGGCCCUGGGCCACUCUAUGCUGCAAAGUUGAAGUUCACCUACGUAACUAAUACGAACAUAAAAGCAUUUAUACGACAAAAGCUGAACAAUGCUGCCAAAUUUCAGAAACAAUAAAUUAUCAACUGUUUAAAGAAAGUUAAACUUUUGUUCUAUUUUUUUUUGU